rnacentral:rRNA from 1 species
GACGAACGCUGGCGGCGUGCCUAAUACAUGCAAGUAGAACGCUGAAGAGAGGAGCUUGCUCUUCUUGGAUGAGUUGCGAACGGGUGAGUAACGCGUAGGUAACCUGCCUGGUAGCGGGGGAUAACUAUUGGAAACGAUAGCUAAUACCGCAUAAAAUUGAUUAUUGCAUGAUAAUUAAUUGAAAGAUGCAACUGCAUCACUACCAGAUGGACCUGCGUUGUAUUAGCUAGUUGGUGAGGUAACGGCUCACCAAGGCGACGAUACAUAGCCGACCUGAGAGGGUGAUCGGCCACACUGGGACUGAGACACGGCCCAGACUCCUACGGGAGGCAGCAGUAGGGAAUCUUCGGCAAUGGGGGGAACCCUGACCGAGCAACGCCGCGUGAGUGAAGAAGGUUUUCGGAUCGUAAAGCUCUGUUGUAAGAGAAGAACGGGUGUGAGAGUGGAAAGUUCACACUGUGACGGUAUCUUACCAGAAAGGGACGGCUA